rnacentral:rRNA from 1 species
GACGAGCGCUGGCGGCGUGCUUAACACAUGCAAGUCGAACGUGAUUUUUGUGGAAAUUCUUUCGGGAAUGGAAAUGAAAUGAAAGUGGCGAACGGGUGAGUAACACGUGAGCAACCUACCUUACACAGGGGGAUAGCCGUUGGAAACGACGAUUAAUACCGCAUGAGACCACAGAAUCGCAUGAUAUAGGGGUCAAAGAUUUAUCGGUGUAAGAAGGGCUCGCGUCUGAUUAGCUAGUUGGAAGGGUAAAGGCCUACCAAGGCGACGAUCAGUAGCCGGUUGGAGAGGAGGAAGGGAAAAAUUGGAACGGGGACACGGUCCAAACCCCUAGGGGGGGCAGCAGGGGGGAAAAUUGAAAAAGGGGGGGAACCCUGAUGCAGGGACGCCGGGGGAGGAAAGAAGGUUUUGGAAUCGAAAAGCUCUGUCCUAUGAAAAGAAAAGGACGGUAACAAAGGAGGAAGCCCCGGCUAAAUACGG